UAGGGAAUCUUCGGCAAUGGACGAAAGUCUGACCGAGCAACGCCGCGUGAGUGAAGAAGGUUUUCGGAUCGUAAAACUCUGUUGUUAGAGAAGAACAAGGACGUUAGUAACUGAACGUCCCCUGACGGUAUCUAACCAGAAAGCCACGGCUAACUACGUGCCAGCAGCCGCGGUAAUACGUAGGUGGCAAGCGUUGUCCGGAUUUAUUGGGCGUAAAGCGAGCGCAGGCGGUUUCUUAAGUCUGAUGUGAAAGCCCCCGGCUCAACCGGGGAGGGUCAUUGGAAACUGGGAGGCUUGAGUGCAGAAGAGGAGAGUGGAAUUCCAUGUGUAGCGGUGAAAUGCGUAGAUAUAUGGAGGAACACCAGUGGCGAAGGCGGCUCUCUGGUCUGUAACUGACGCUGAGGAUCGAAAGCGUGGGGGGCAAACAGG
rnacentral:rRNA from 1 species